ACAACGAAUAACCCGGCGAAAGUCGGACUAAUACCGUAUGAUAUCCUAUGCAGGCAUCUAACUAGGAUUAAAGGUUUAGCGGUAAGGGAUGGGGAUGCGUCUGAUUAGGCAGUUGGCGGGGUAACGGCCCACCAAACCGACGAUCCAGUAGGGGGUUCUGAGAGGAAGGUCCCCCCACAUUGGAACUGAGACACGGUCCAAACUCCUACGGGAGGCAGCAGUA
rnacentral:rRNA from 1 species